rnacentral:snRNA from 1 species
GUGCUCACAUCGGCAGCACAUAUACUAAAACUGGAAUGAUACAGAGAUUAGCAUGGCCCCUGUGCAAGGAUGACAUGCAACUUCAUCAAGAGUUCCAUAUAAAA